UUAUUAAGAAUUUUGUCUUCCACAUCUGUUGACAUGUAUGCAUGUAGAUAUUGAUUUAUCCAAUAUUAAUUAUUUUUUUCAAUAUCUACAUGCAUACAUGUACAUGUCAACAGAUGUGGAAGACAAAAUUUUUAAUAA
rnacentral:sRNA from 1 species